rnacentral:misc_RNA from 1 species
UUUGAAAAACUGAAAUCUGAAAUUUUGGCUGCGUAAUCUUCAGUGAGAGAGAUGGCUGAAGAAUUCAGAUUGUUGUGGGUUACUGGUGGGUUCAACUGGUGCAUAUGUUCGAGGCAGUAAGCCAUGCCCAUUCCAAUCCUCAACCGCAUUGCCCAGUCCAGGUGUUCAGAUUCUUUAAUGUGUAAAUGUUCAAAGAGUGUCCCAUUUGGAGCAUACUCAAAAACCAGCAUUCUUGUGAGAGGCUCCUCCUCCUCACAAUAUCCAAGAAGGUUGAUAAAAUUCUUG